rnacentral:rRNA from 1 species
UGGGGAAUAUUGGACAAUGGGCGAAAGCCUGAUCCAGCCAUGCCGCGUGUGUGAAGAAGGUCUUCGGAUUGUAAAGCACUUUAAGUUGGGAGGAAGGGCAGUAAGCGAAUACCUUGCUGUUUUGACGUUACCGACAGAAUAAGCACCGGCUAACUCUGUGCCAGCAGCCGCGGUAAUACAGAGGGUGCAAGCGUUAAUCGGAAUUACUGGGCGUAAAGCGCGCGUAGGUGGUUCGUUAAGUUGAAUGUGAAAGCCCCGGGCUCAACCUGAGAACUGCAUCCAAAACUGGCGGGCUAGAGUAGGGCAGAGGGUGGUGGAAUUUCCUGUGUAGCGGUGAAAUGCGUAGGUAUAGGAAGGAACACCAGUGGCGAAGGCGACCACCUGGGCUCAUACUGACACUGAGGUGCGAAAGCGUGGGGAGCAAACAGG